AACGCUGGCGGCGUGCCUAAUACAUGCAAGUCGAACGAGCUUUGGUCGAUGAACGGCGCUUGCACUGAGCAUUCGACUUAAAACGAGUGGCGGACGGGUGAGUAACACGUGGGUAACCUGCCCUUAAGUGGGGGAUAACAUUUGGAAACAGAUGCUAAUACCGCAUAAAUCCAAGAACCGCAUGGUUCUUGGCUGAAAGAUGGCGCAAGCUAUCGCUUAUGGAUGGACCCGCGGCGUAUUAGCUAGUUGGUGAGGUAACGGCUCACCAAGGCGAUGAUGCGUAGCCGACCUGAGAGGUUGAUCGGCCACAUUGGGACUGAGACACGGCCCAAACUCCUACGGGAGGCAGCAGUAGGGAAUCUUCCACAAUGGACGCAAGUCUGAUGGAGCAACGCCGCGUGAGUGAAGAAGGCUUUCGGGUCGUAAAACUCUGUUGUUGGAGAAGAAUGGUCGGCUAGUAACUGUUGUCGGCAUGCCGGACCAACAGAAGCCACGGCUAACUA
rnacentral:rRNA from 2 species